rnacentral:lncRNA from 1 species
ACGUGACCACAGCCUCACGCGGCGGCCGCUGCGGAUCCUGCUACCGGCGCAAUGGAGGGGCGCGAGCGGCCACCAGUAGAGUCUGGUUCAUUCUUUCCAGCCGCACAAGGCGGCGGAUCGAGCUUCUUGGGAGAAAGUGUCGGCACCCCCUGAAAACGGGUUGACGACCAGGGCGCUCAGAACUGCUUCCCACCGCUCUGCAGGCACUCCCGAGCCCGCUGCACCCCUGACAGAAGCCCGCGACUCUGAGGCACACGAAUAACAGCGAUGCAUUCAAAAUGAACAUGAUCUUUAUUAAUCAGAAUGCACUUCUAGCCCACGAAACACAGGUUCCCUAAAUACAGUGUUUCUGCCUAUUUGAUUAACGAUGACUAUGAAAGCACAAAUUUGGGGGCCUGCAAUGUAUACAGCCAUAUUGGAAAAAAUUGGACUCGAUUCUUACUGAAAUAACCAGUGUUGGGCUGUGAAGGUAUUUUUCUGUGGGAAAUGCUUUGGAAGGUGCCUUUAAAAGAAUCUCAAAAUAUUGCUUUCCUUUCCUUGAGCGAGACCGAAAAACUUUAGAAAAAGAAAAGCUCAUACCUAGAACAAAGGACCACGCUGAAUGCAUAUUCUAGAGCACAUUUCACAUCCCUCGCGUCAACAAGAAGAAGAAGAGGAGCUUUGAUGCAUUUCAGUCUACAAGUUGACAUCACAAAAGUGCUGGAAGCAGCCGUGGUUUCGGAAGGGAGCUAGAGGCAGAACGAGUGUGGAUGCUGAGAGAUCCCUGACUGUGACUGCUACAUAUUUCAGCUGCGUAGUCACAUAUAUACAAGAUUCCCUGCACUUACAACCAAAAUGAUAACAAAUGCUCUCAUUUGGGAUUUUGUUUGAUAGUCAUUAGGAUAUUUUAUAAGUCUUUCCAAGCACAAGGUUUUUUUCUUUUUUUUUUUAAAGAGAAAUGUGACAAAUAAGGCAACAUAUUUGAAAGUGCUUUGAGUAAUAACAUGACAUUGAAAAUAUCAAAAUGAAUAUUAAAUGAAAUGGGAAAAUACUGGAGAUUUUUAAAUCCUCAUGUCCUUUUUCCUGUACAUAUAGUUUUUACAUAGAGCAGUAGGCUUACAAUUUAUAUAAUUUUGCAUCCUGUUCUUUUCACUGAACAUUAUACAAUAUUUCCCCAUAUUAUUAUGCAUCA